AAAAAUGUUUCGCAGGAGCUUCAAGCCAGACAAAUGCAAGCUAGCUUUAAAGCUAGCGAUACCGCGAAUAAAGCUAAUGAAGAACAAGAGGGAAGCACAUUUUAAGCAGUUAAAGAGGGAAUUGGCUCAAUUACUGGAGUCAGGGAAGGAUCAAACUGCCAGAAUUCGGGUGGAGCAUGUGGUUAACGAAGA